AUGUGUGGUAUACUUUUUGGGAAAUUUAAGGGAUUUUCAAGGGUGAUUUUUAUUAGUUUGAUUUUCUAUUUCCAUUCUGACUUCAGGACAAGAUGCAACUCCAUCAUUUUCGGGAGUGACCUAAGCCAAUCAGGUUGGUCUUUCAGCAUUUGCUAUGAGCUCUCAGAAGCUUCCAGAAGUGGGAAGUAAUAAAGGCACUUUGUCCCCUUCCCCCAAUUUCUCCCUGAAGUGGCAUGUUACAACAAAAGCAAGUGAUGGGGUUUAGGAUAUGUUACCCCAAAAUAUAGCCACUUGACAUUUGGGAAUGCUACAGGAGCAGAACGGUCACUCUCACCUUCUCUUACCCUUUUCCCUUGAAGCAGAUCUAAGAUCCUCAUUCAAGAGGUACCCUCUCUAUAAAAGAGCCAAAGACAGAGACACCCAGAAGAAUCUGAACAGAUAGGCCCUGCUAAGUUCCCCCAGUUUAUUACCAUUAGAUCAUACCCUUUUGCCCGCUAAUGAUACUGCCCCACGACUAUCCACUCUUUAUCUAACCUAAGCAUAAAUAUACACGUCUACCUGUGUCUUUCAGUUCUCCUUUCUGAAAGCUCCUAUGUCACAUAAAACAUUUAUUUAGAAAAUCUGUAUGCUUUUCUUUUGUUAAUCUGUGUUUUGUUAUAGGGUCUUUGGUCAUGAACCUAGCAAUGGGUGAGAAAAAAAGUUAUUAUUUUCAUUCCCUACACAAGUAUUAGACCAAAUUCUACAUGAAAGCAAUCAAGUGACCUGUUCUUCCAAAGUCAGGGAUGUUCCCACUCACAAACAUGCAUCAAGUCCCUUGCAUCAGAUGUACACUCAGAGGGGGUGGAAUAAUAUCAUGAUGGUGAGUCAGGGGCAGACCGCCCCUGCCCCACCGCCAUGAAGUGGCAGACCCAAACCAGAUGGAUUUCACACUCUAGGCUGCACUCCAGAGGGGCUGGGUUGCUGGGCUGGCUAGCUUCUUAGACCUUGUUUUCAUGGGUGGUGGGUAUUGUAACAUCUUUCUAGCUAACCACGUUGAUCAGCAUUCAUUUCACCAGUGAAAAUUUAGAAAUUACUUCUAUCAUCUUGUAUGAUAAUUCUGGAGCCCUGUGACUUAAAUUUUGAAAUCAAGUGGUUAGUGCUUUAAAUGCUAACUAGCCACUCUCGGGAUGUUGAUUUAAGUCAUCUUACAACUAGAAACAACCAAAAUGCCCACCUUCGUGAGACUCCAUAAGGAAAAUUUGGUGCAAUCACACAAUGGAACAGUGUGCUACUGAAGUAAGCAAAUAAGGAAGCUUUCCAGGAACUGGUGGAGAAACACCUGCCCCCACCCCAAGAUAUAGGGUUCAGGGAAAGAUCAAGGUGCAGACAUCUGAGGAAAUAAUUUGCAUUCUAUGGAGCUGGAGGGAAAUAAGGGUUUGCAUUUGUAUUUGCAUUUGUAUUUGCUGGACAGAUACGCAGGAAACUAGUAAGUUACCUCUGGGGAUCAGGGUAGGAAAGAGGAUUCGAAAUAGGGCCAAUAGGGGUAGGAGUAGAAACAAGACUUUUCACUGUAAUACAGUUCAUAUUGUUUUGAUGGUUUUACCAUGUGAAUGUAUCACCUAUUCUGAGCAAGU
rnacentral:lncRNA from 10 species